rnacentral:tRNA from 10 species
GGCGGAGUAGCUCAGUCGGUUAGAGCAGCGGAAUCAUAAUCCGCGUGUCGGGGGUUCAAGUCCCUCCUCCGCUACCA